AACAGAUUUCUCAUGUUACAAUAUAAAUAUUGUAAUUGGAAUCAUUCUGUUCUUGCUUUAUUUGUUUAUAUUUAUUAUUUAUAUAACCAGUUUCCUAAAUACAGGAUGAAUAAAAACUUCAUUGUAAAGUUUACUGUACAGAUAAGGGGCAUCGAAACAAGUCAAAGAUAUCCAAUCACAAUCAAACAUGUGAAGAACAAUCUGACCACAAUCAAGUGUGAUGCAAUACUUGGCAAUAGCACUUUGUGUGCUUGAUAGUAAUUGACUAAUUUUAAAGAGUCCUAACUCAAAAAAGGUGCCAUUUAAACUAUAUGUUCAAUGACAUUUUAGACUUGUUUUGAUGUCCCAAUCGGUACC
rnacentral:lncRNA from 1 species